GACGCUUUCUCCUUGAUCUGGUCCAUGUCCAUGUUCUGUAGGUUCUGUAUCUGGCCCAGGAUAGAAUCCUUCUCUUCCUCCUCUGUGGCGUCCUCGUCCACCAUUUUGAGUAGUUCUUCUGGCACGUCGAUGUCGUCUCCUGCCGACUCCAUCAGCAUACAGCAGUUCCUGUCUUUACUGAGGGGAUUUAUGUCCAACAGCGAACACUUCAAACAACAGCUUCAUUUAGCAUCACAUGUGACCCUCUAGGACCCUGCAAGAGAGGGAGACUCCCUGCAUAGCCUGUGAGACAGAUGGCAUACAGACACACGCACAAACACAGGGCAUGUUGGGUCUUGGGCUCAAAUGUGAGAUAUCUGCGAUCAGUCUUUUUUUUAUGCCUUAAUCUUGUGACUGUACUUAGGCAUAUCUGACUAGCAGGCCUUAGACUCCUGUACAUGUACUGAGUCACUCUGACACUGAUCGACACAGCCUCCGCAUCAUGUUACUAAUUUAUGAUAGUGUUCUCAUUUACAGAGAAAAUAUGUAAGAUUAUCACCUUAUGUUAUUCAUAGAAAAGGGAAAAUUAUAUACAAAUAAAAUAUAUAAAGGCAAGUGUUUGUCCCAUGUUUAAUGAGCUGAAAUAAAAGAUCUCAGAAAUGUUC